UUACGGCCAUAUUACAAUAAAGCAUCGGUUCUCGUACGAUCUCCGCAGUUAAGCAACCUCGAACCCGGUCAGUACUUAGAUGAGGGACCGCUUGGCACUAACAGGUACUGUGA